rnacentral:pre_miRNA from 1 species
CAAGUACUCCCUCCGUCCGGAAUUACUUGUCAUCAAAAUGGAUGUGUCUAGAACUAAAAUACAUCUAGAUACAUCCAUUUCAAUGACAAGUAUUUUCGGACGGAAGGAGUACAAG